UUGUUGUUGUCUUUUUUUGGUCUUCUGGUGUCUUUACUGUUUGAUUUAUGUCCUCACAAGCCUCCAGGCUUCUCCAAUGUAACAUCAUCAUGUUAGCUAGUGCCUCUGGACGCCACAAGUGCAUAGAGGCUGAGGACCACGUGGCUCUCACUUAGUGUUUGUGGAAGUAACUUGAGGAGGAUGACACUUCACUGCACCCUCAAGUCUUCUGGAGCGUCUGACUCCUUCCACACCUUCUUUACACGGGAUUAUCCUGAUUAUUUUCAUUUUUUCCUUUUUCAGUGUAGGCCAUGAAUGUGUUCAGAAUGUCUGCUAUGAGCCUCAUGACUGGAAUUGAUAAAAACUCUUUCCAACAUUAUAUUGUGUGCUUUGUGCAGUGCUGAGGGUUCCUAGAAAAAUUUCAGAAUUCAUUACUGGUCCUUCUGUGUUGGCAAAUGUACGAUAGAGAAUUUCUCCAGUUGUCCCCUAGGUGGAACUACUCUGAAUUUUCAGAAGUGGCAUGUGUAAUAAAAAAUGUAUGUGGAACUGCAGAUAAUCAGUGAUUACUUGCAGGGCCAAUACCUCACAGAGUUCUCCAGUUGUGUUUAUAUGGGUAGGUUCUCUUGUGUCCCGGGAGCAUUUGUAAUUGGUACUUUGUCUCAUGAUACCUUAUGGGAGUUUUUCACCUGAAAUUGAGACAUGUUUGUGUUCAUUCUUUUACGCAGAAUUUCUACCUCCCUUUUACAAUGGCACAAAAUAGCUCUGCAACUCAUGUUGUAUUUAAAAGCUGAAUUACCUGUGAAUUAAGAUAAACAUACUUGAGACCAAUGAAUAUGCACAGGUAAUGUGUUUCCCUUAGAAAACUCAUAUCCAGGCCCCAAUGCUGGACUCCAGGAAUCCCCAUCUCCUCAGAGGUCUUUGUGGCCUUGCACAGAAGAUGUGUUUGUAAGGGAGGGAAGCAGAGUGAGGACAGGCAUGGGAUCGCAGUUAGAGCUUUGACCUUGGGGUGGCCCUGGAUCUCUGUGUGGUUCUGGUCAUUUCUUUCAUUCCUUCAUGUUCUGUCUGUUCUCAAUGUGCAAAGAAAAAGUCUGCAGAUCUGGUGGAAGAGGACACCAGAGAGAUCCUGGACACAGAUGCCUGCCUCUCUGGAAUACUUUCCUUUAUUAGACUGGCAUUACUGCCAUCAAUCUUCUAGAACAGGACUCCUUGGCUUUCUGCAUUUUUAAACAUGGGCAGUGACGUGUGGUGACAGUUGUUUUUCCUUGUGGCAUCUGGUACUUUCAGGCUAUAGGUGGGACCUCACGGAAGGGUAGAGUUUUCUGACACUGAUGCUCUGUUCUACUAGAACCCCUGAAUGAACAAGGGGCCAGGUGCUGACACCUGCUUCAUUGUGUUUCAGCUCCUGUGGGCGUUCUGCUUCUGUCUGUCAUACCAACACACCUGUCACUUCUGUAGGUCCCUAUGGAUGCAAGGGGACCUCCUUUCCCAGGUCCACCCUGCACAGAUACAAUUUAUCACUGUUCAUGGGCUCUAUGGGCUGCCUCCAGCUCCUUGAUGGUGGGACAGUACCCAUCACCUCCACCUCAACUAUUUGUGAGAUAAACUGAGCUGUAUGAGUUGACUUGUUCAGCAUGUUCAGCUUCUAUGUUGUUGAGUCUUUGAGAAGAUGGAGAGAUGGCCUCACACGCUUUGUAAUGCAAUGGUGCUGCUGGAUGUGGACACUGUUAAGAUUCCUCAAGUUUCUCAGGACAUACAUAUGUUGGGCUGUGUCAUUUCCAUUACUGAGCUGGGCUGCAUAUAUCAUUUGUGGAGAAGGAAAGAGUCUUUUAAUAGAAAAGCAGGCAUAUCAGUUCUGCAGAUGUGCCCAGCACACAGUCCAUGUCCCUGGCUCUGUGAGAGAUGAGGCAAACCCUUACCAUCAGGGGCUUCAACUGUCCUAAUGGGGAGAGAGUCACAUGCGUUAAAUUACAUGGAGCUUCUGGUCUACAAUAAUGGCAGCUCCAGUAAUGGGUCCUCAAGUACAAGAGACGGAGACAUGAAACUCAUGGAAAUGAAUUGGAGACUGUGCAUGAGAAGGGAGAGCUGAGAUGCUACAGAGAGGAGGGUGUUGGACUCAGUGAGAUGGAGUUGGAGGCCAUUUGUGGCAGGGCCCACAACCUGGGCAGGGAUAGUGAGCGCAGAGUGGCAUCCACACAGAGCUGCUGUAUGGGUUCAAGGAUAGUCCAUGCAGGUAUCAUCUCUGAAAUGUCAUUGUGGCCAAAGGGCACCUAGUUCAUUAUCUAAAUAAAGACUGUUGUUUCUCUUGGAGGUUCUCCUGAAGAUUCUGGAUCCUUGUGAAAGAAUGCCCUGGAGAUUUGUAGUUUUCCUUGGUUCUUAUGGGAUGCUUGUCUGCCUAAGUUUGUGUGCCUCUGUGAGACUAAAUGUGAUGAAAGGUUGUAGAUUAGCUGUGUGGCUUCCUUGGCCUUCAGCCUGAAUCAGACUCUUAGCAGGGAAAUCAGGGUUGACCAGGAAACGCCCCUGCUGGAAUCUUGUCACCGCACCCCUGAACCUACUGUCAUGACCCUGCAUGAAGGUGUACAUCUCUGAAACUUCCCUCAAAAUUUCCAGAGGCACUGCCUGUGAUCCUGCUGUCUCAGCCCUAAUGCCAGCUCUCAGUGGGGCCAUCUCAGAGCCUCAGCAUUGUAAUCUGAGAAGCAGGAACAAUGUUGGUCUCUGAGGUCAGUGCGAUGAAGAGGUGGUUAAGCACAUAAGGAAUUUGUAAAAUGUAUGGGAUGAGUGGGCAUUCACCCUUCUCAGGGUGGAAAUGAAUGUAUCUGCACACAGAAGAUCAUCAACAGAUGUUCAUUCAGUUUCAUGAAACUAAGGGUAUAAUGCCUGAGGUUGGGAGAUUGGCAAUUCCUGUUUCCAAAGAUACAACAACGACCCCUGUGUUUUUUUUAUUAAAAUUCAGGUCCUACUUUACAAAGAAGGAAAAGAUAAGUAUGAGAAUGUGUAUAUUCAGGCAUCUACAUCUAAGAUCUGAGGUAGACAUACAAAUGCAGCCACACAAAUAUGUGCUCAUCCAAGGCCACAGAUGUAUUGUAGAAGACAAAAUGCAUAGAGGAGAACAGAAGAUCCCUUUGCAAUAAGUCAAAAUCACUUUGACGUAGAGGACAAUCCGUUUGAAAUUUGGAGAGGACACUGAACCAUUACAAACCAGCUAUGGUUAUUAUAUAUUUAGAGAUGGUGUCUAAUCUGCCCCUUGGUCUGAAUGCUUUCCCUGCCCACCCUGCCCACUCCACUUUGUCCUUCCUAAUGUCCCCUAAUACACUUGUCACAGUUGUGUUUCUGUGUCAGCGUCAGCUUCCAGGAAAAUCAACACUCAUUCCCCAUCAAGCGUACACUUUGGGGUUCCUGUAUAUGCAGUCAGCCAACACAUAGUAUGUACAGGAUUGGUGGAAGAAGACAGAUCAUUCUUUGGGGUUGUAAUGCCUGGAAGGGACCUAUAGUUCCAUCUGAGGAGUUGGAUACAUCCUUUAGGGAGAUCUGGUGAUAGUUGUUAUAUCUGUAGAUAGAUACUCAUGAGCACAUGGCGUGCGUGCUAGUUGAUGGGGUUCGUGCUGAUGAGGAGGGCAGGUAUCUGUCUCCAGGAAAGGUUCUCUUCCGAUGGUGAGGAAUGGAUUCAGGAGACCGGUAAGGAGGCCCUGCAUUAACUCAGCUCUUGUGCCCUUGUGCACCUUACCAGCUUCCCCCAAUAGCACCAAUCUAGGUGGCCUCAAGGGGGCAAAUGGCGCAGCUUUUGUGGUGAGUCUCACAUGAUGUCCCACAAAGCUUCCCCUGUUGCCUUAUUGAGGAAUCGGGAGGGCAGAGCUCCAUGGUCUGAGAUAGGUUCCUUGGACACCACCCAGGAGAGUUGUGGGUAAGCAUAUGGCUCCUUCUACAUUGGCCAAGCCAAUCCACUUUGCCCCAGGCACCCCGAAACCUCUGAGCCCCUUUUUCCUCCCAGCUUAGGGAAGCAGCCAGCCCUCCAGAAGCUUUUGGGUCAUGGAUUAGCCACCAAGGGUAAAUGUCUGGCUGUACACAUGCUGCCAGCAUUGCUCUAGCAAAUGUCAACAUGAGCAGCUGCUGUACAGGGGAUUCUCCUCCAUUGUGAUCAGGGCCUGGGACAAAACAAGACAUGAGAGAGGGAGAGACAGGAGUGCCCUGUGCUCCUGGACAGGGCUGCAUGCACAGAGCAGAUAUCCUGAAGCCUGGGGAGAAGUGGAGAAAGAGACAGGCAGGGAGAGAGACAUUGAAUUUGUGAUAGGGGAAUUGGGCAAGUCCUAGAGAGUGAAAGGAAGAAAUAGAGAGUGAUGUGGUUAGAGAUAACGAGGGACAAAGAGGAAGUACAAGGAGAAACUAGAGACCUGGUCCAGGAAUGUGGACGGGGUGAGAUGGGCCAGGGGAGAGGGGAUGUAUGAAGUGUCUCUGAGUGCUGGGGCAGAAAUGGCAGGUAUCAUGGGCAUCAGUGUUGUGUGACUCCGAGACUCCAACAUCCCUGGGGCCAAGCUUUGCAGAGGCUAUUGCAUUUGAAAAGAUUGGUAUCCCUCAUUUCUCCUGGAAUUGUGGGGGCACAGCCUCAUGUUCUGUCAUGGAGAGGGAUGUCUUGAGGGAGAGUGUGCUGCUCUUUGGCAGGUAAACACUAGAGCCGCCCUGUGGGGAGGGAACCCGAACCCAUCUCCCUCACUUCCCCAGGCCCUGUUGGAUUUCCCCGCCGCUUCCUACCAGCUGGUCUUCCUCAUGUUCUGAACCCAGGCAUCAGGCAUUGUGUUGCCCCCAGAUCCGGCAGUCUGGACCUGGCAGAGUUGAACUGCCGAUAUUGAUAAAAAGUAUUUGACAAGAAGGUCCAUAUUCUCCCUCUGGAGCUAGUGGUGUGCAUCAAGAUCGUGGGUUUUUAUCCUCCUGUCCACUGCCAAACUGAGGAUGCCAGAUGAUUCAGGCUUGUUUCCGGUAAGAAACGCUGACAGAAAUUCAGAAGAACGGGAGCUGCAUUCCAUUAGGACUUGAAUACACGAAAUGUUCGUCUCAGGACCUUCUACAAGAAUGAGCUGGGACCCACUUUCCGAGUCCUGCUGGAACCAGUGACCAAGAUAUCGGCCAGGUGGCUGAAGGCCUGCACUAGGGUACCUACCUCCUUUUCGGAUAGACUGUAUUCCCUUUCCAUGUUUUAGCUGUACCUGUGACACGGGACACGAGAGAACGUGCUCAUGUGAACACAAGUGAAGGACACCGUGGGGACUUGCCACACAGAUGCCAGCACGUGGACUGUGUACAGGGCAUUUUUGCUGAAGCGCUAUGUCUGAUUUUCGGCAUACGGCCCCAUUCCUUCUCUACAAGAGACGCCUGUACCAACCCAUGGUGGGGGAAAAGACGAAGAUGAGAUCCUGAGAAACUUGAGGAAUGUGGGAAUGGCAGCGGACACAUUCCCCUUGCAUCACAAUGGUCUGUGGUACCGCCUCUGCACCUUGGCCCAAGACCUAACAGUAACAACAUAAGGUUCAUCUCCUAGCCAGAAUCAAGAAAGGAAGACACAGCAGCCACACUGUUCCCACAGAGGUGAGGUCUGGAAGGGAUCACCCAGGCCGGGAGACAUCUGUUUGGAGUGUGCAGUCAUCCUCCUCUCAUUAUUUCCUGAAACUCACAGAAAAACCUUAAGGCAGCCUCUUUGGUUCCAUCCCGUCCAGUCUUGGAUACAGAAAAAUAAUGGACUUCUAGAAGAGUUGCAACACCACGUCCUCUACUAGACGACUAACAGUGCAGGCGUCAUCCCUGGAAACACCCAUAAAAACGCAAG